UUUAACAUAUGGGCGAGUUUGAGUGCACUUGACCACGGCCUUCGUUACUGACAGGAAUCUUGAUCAUACUGGUUUGAAUCAGAUGUGACUGGUGGGUUCUUCACUUAUUCCCAACCAGUCUCCAACAGCAAACCCUAGAAAUGUAUUCUAAUUUCAUGUUCUGAAACUGUAAAAUAUUGUGGUCCAGUAAUGAACUAACUCGCCCAUAUGUUAAAUUUUGUGCAU
rnacentral:misc_RNA from 1 species